UUUUAGGAUUACAACAAGAUGUACCUGAUACAAUCAUAGUUACAAAGAAUACAACACAAGCAAAAAUCUUGUUACUUGAGAUUUCUAAGAUAUACAAGUGUAAGACGAUCUCGAGUCUACGUGCAAUACAACAAAUCUUUAUAUAGAGGGCACAAAAGAGACGUUGGAAGCUUGCUUGCACUAGUGUCUUUGCUAAAAAAGCGGUUUCCAAGAGAGAGACGAUGGAUAG